rnacentral:rRNA from 1 species
UACGAAGGGGGCUAGCGUUGCUCGGAAUUACUGGGCGUAAAGGGCGCGUAGGCGGACAGUUUAGUCAGAGGUGAAAGCCCAGGGCUCAACCUUGGAAUAGCCUUUGAUACUGGCUGUCUUGAGUUCGGGAGAGGUGAGUGGAAUGCCGAGUGUAGAGGUGAAAUUCGUAGAUAUUCGGAAGAACACCAGUGGCGAAGGCGGCUCACUGGACGACUAUUGACGCUGAGGUGCGAAAGCGUGGGGAGCAAACAGG